UCAACAAUGCCUGUGUAGUUGCCUUGUUCACUUCAGCCUUUGAAGGCUGAAUCUCUUCCAAUCUCAAAACCAGCUUUGUUAAUGUGCAAGCUACAACUGUCUCAAGGAAAAAAUCACCCGAGAGAAUCAAUGAUCUCAAGUUCCCCACGGAAGCCAAAGAUCCUUGAACCAGGACAGGUGCAGACAUAGCAGUUUCCAGUGCAGCAGACUGGGUGGCAUAGGUCCCAUCUGCAAGGAUCACAGGCCUCCUAGAAGACACAGUGGUCGAGCUUACCACCUGAGAAUUCUUUGUAGCAUCUUGUGCCUCUUUUUCCUCAGAAGCUGUGUAAAAUGGGAGAUCCCCAAGACACUGCUUAAUGGUUGCAAUCCCACUCUCAACUUCAGAGAGCGAGAGACAAUACUCCCCGAUAAUCCAGAGGGAAUGAGUGCAAACCCUCGAAUUGCGGAUCUGGUAGAAAGUAUCUAGCAGCCUCGUUAUUACAGAAACACGCAGCUUGGGGUUGGUUUCAAUAAUCUCACGCACAAAAGCAGCCACAUCCAGGGCUGAAGCAACAUUGGUAUCGCCCAAGAAAUCCAUCAAAGGAUGCACCACCGUGCUCGCCACCUCAGGAAACUUAACUGCGCAUGCAUAUAUUGCUUGCACUAACAUCUGCCUAUACUCCCCGUUCUUCUCAAGCUCCCCACUCUGGGUCUUCACGACCUCCUUCUUCAACAUCAUCACAACCUGAUUAAUAUUCCGGGAAGUAAUCAAAUCAAGCACAAUAUCAAGAGUCUUCCUCCUAAUAUCCACAUUCGGACUUGACAGUGCCCUCAGCACAUCCAUAACCAACUCAACCAUAAUCUCCCUAUGCGAAGCCUUGAGCUCACUAAUCCUAUCCAGCAAAAUCAACUUCACAUUGUUAUCGCUCUGCGACAACAACAACUGAGAAUAAGUGUUGGCUGCUGCUUUUAUGGCCGUAGGUGCCGAAGACAACGACACAAGCGUUCCAGCACACUCAUAAACAACGGCACUCGACGGUGCAUCCAGCAACGAUAUAAUAAUCUUAAUGUACUUGGAUUUCUCACCCUUAUUCACUCUACAGACCUUCUUAAUCAAUUCCAACACGACCAUUUGGAGCUGUUCCCCCCACUCAAUAAUCCUACUGAUAUGUGUAAACAAAUAAUUCACAGCCCUAUCUUGCGCGCAAUUAAAGAGCAUAAGGAAAGCAUUUCGCUUACUGGAAGGGUCCUGCUCGGAGGCCAAGAACCGAUCGAUGAUCUCCGGCGCGCUAUCCAGCAAUGUCUCCCCCUGCGGAAGCCUAUACACGAACAUGAUCGCCAGCACGGCAUUUCGUCGAACAAAUGGGUGGCGGUGCUCCAAAUUGGUGAGAAUCGAAGGGAUCAGAGGCUCGAUGAUCUCGGCCUCGUUCAAUCGGCAGAGAAAUCGCAGCGUAACGCCUCGGAUGUACUCGUUCGGGUGCUGAAGAUUGUUGCGGAGGUUCUGGCAGAUGAGGAUCAUCUCCGGGAGGAUCUUGCCUUUGGAGUCGGUUUUCUCUACGAUCUCAAGGUAGAGGAGGAGGAGCUUCUGGACUGUGUGGUCCUCGGAGGGCAGUACGUAUCGGAUGAUGGUGAUAAAGAGGUGGGGAAUGGUGUCGCCGUUGAGGAGGAGCAUGAUGGCCUUCUUGAGGGCUUCGAUCUUCAAUUCGACGUCGUUUCCUUCAAGGGCUUCUUUAAUCUCGUUGGCUAGGGCUGGUGUGCCUUUGUCGAAGUGGACGAGGAGAGUGCAUGACUUCUCCAUCAUUGGGGAUCCGAAUCGGAAUUGGAUCUCAGGGAAUCAGAAAUGCCGGAUCUAAAUGAGAGAAAUGAGAAGGAGGAGAAGAACAAGAAGAGAUCUGGGUUUGUUUUGGUUGUGGUGGAUCCGAUUUGGUGUCUGGUGUUGGCUUUGGCUUAGAUUGGAAGUGACUACUGCUGAAUUUAUCUUGUGUUGCGCCUAAGGAAUUUGUCUCGUGUUGCGCUCAAUCAUUUAUCAAGUAGAAAGUUUGGUGUUUGGCCCCUUUAGGCUUUGAUGUUUACAAUUUGGAGAGUUUUAAAUCGCCCCGACGGCAUGGCAUGGCGCUGGUUUUUGAGAAGAAAAUAUAUUUCAUUAAAAAAAACCAUGAAACAUACAGAGUGAGUAAACCAAGAUAAAGAUUCAAGAAUUAGUGACAGGCCCAAAGGGCCCAACAAGAAAAUAAAAACAAGUGUGAGGCCUUGAUAAUAAAAAUAUGGAAUAGAAAGGUAACAAUAUAAAAAGCAAGCUCGCAAGAAUACAAAUGAUUUGAAUUUAAUUUGUAUAUUUUUUAUUAAAUUAAAGAAAAUGGCUUGAUAAUUAAAAUAAUUUAAAUAAAUAUCUCUCUCUCUCCCUUUAAAAAAAUAAAAGUCACUCAAAAUAUUUUGGCAUAUAGAGCUUGUGGUCAUCCUUUACAAACCGAUUUCGUAGCGUAGGGAAAAUCUUACAUGGGCCAAAUGAGAAGGGAGAAAUUUACUUUGAUGUUAACCACAAAUUAAUUACAAUUAUUAUUUAUACCAUAUUUAUUAAGUUCGAUAAACAUUUUAUCAAUAAAUGUGUUACGCAUAACAUUAUUCUUUUCUCAAACCAUAUAGUAUUUUGUUCAAAAACUUGGGACAUUGAUCCAUGACUAACAUAAAAUUAGUUGAGCAAUCUUGCUCUUCCAACUUUUGAUAUUCAUUCAAAUCAAGCUUUUAUUAAUUAAAGAUUGAAAGCAAUUACCCAAAUACGUAUGAAUUAAUCUAUUUUUUUAAAUUGAAAUGUUGCAGUUUUAAUUAUUAAAUUGUUUUAUUUUAUUUUAUAAAAAAGCAAUAAACUUUUAUUAGAUCAAUAAGAAAAAGUAGUACAAAGGACAUAGACUCUAUAACAAGAUGACAGACGUGGGUAAAACUUCCCCAAGUCAACUGCAAAAGAUGAAGUAAUGAUCUGGAAAACUCACACAGCUUAAUAAAAGAAAAUGAGUCCAUAAACUUGAUAUUAAAAUAUGUGACAAGCGAAACUUGCUGGGGGUAUUGAUAGCAACAGCUAAUACAAAUUGAAAACAGGAAAUGUUACAAUUAACAACAGAAAUGCAUACGGUGGGCAUCGCUACAAAAUUACUUGAAAAAUAUUGUGGAUGGCAGCAAUACGUCCUAACCAUCCUCUUACUUGAAAAGCAAAAAAAGCAAAAGAAUCCUAUAACAAACACGAUCCUCAGUAAAAGGUUGAAGCAAGAAUAACAGCUGCAAAAUUAGGCUGUGUCCAAUCAGAGGCCGCCCUUCUGUUUCAAGGUGAUCUUGUCCCCAAGACUGAGGGCAAUGCCUUGAGUCUUGCUUCUAAUUCUGAUGUAUCCACUUAGCUUACCAUCGGCUUGUUUCUCAACACUCACAUUCACCAAAGCAUCCUCCCCGAAAACACUCUUUGCGUACAAAUUUGCAGCGAGGACUCCACACUCUCCUUCCAGUGCCGAUCUAAUGCCCAAUUAGCGAGGGAUGAGCAGAAAUUAAUGACCAUCAAUCAUCCGCUCAGAAGGCGUAAAGAGAUUAAAAGGAAAAUACACUUACUCUUAUAUGCAUGUUACAUGUAUAAGCACCUCUGGAAAAUGUCAAAGUUCAACUGUAUUUUAUUUACAUUAUGACAUGGUCACUAAGUUUUUAAGUCAUGUGCACAUUUGUAGAGGUGGACAACAUGGCACUACCAUCGACAACUAUGUAACCUUCUUAAAUGAUUCUUGUAUGAAAUUAUAUAUAUGUAUAUGUUUGUAUGGUUGCAUGUAAAUAGCUAUGUACAAUUCUGUGCAUCAUGAAAAGAAUAAUUUAUUUCUUCAACAUGCAACAGAGUAAAUGAUAAACAUGGUUAAUAGAGUCCCAAAACUUACGGUGGAGUCAGGCACUUCAUGUUAGUCGCUUUAACAACAUGGUUCAGAAAUUCCUUUUCGUCCUGAAUAACAGUAUUUACAGCAACCUGGGGAAAAGAGUGUGUUAAUGCAUAGUAGAAUCCAAAGGCAUACCAUACCAAGAGCAAAAUUACAAUAAGGAUGACAAGAAAUAAUUUUUAAACUGAAAUAUAAACACAUUUGCUUUUGGAGGAGAACCCAAACACAAGUCCACAGAAAGGAAAUAUUAUCAAGUUGUAAAAAAGAAUCAUAAUUAAGGACAUGUAAGAAGCACAUUGUCAUUUGAUGUGAGAAAAGAAAACACAAGUCCACGAGCACUAGAUAAGUAAAGAUGAUGCAUGAGCUAACAACCAAGGAUGAUUCAGAAGCAGCACCAUCUGCAAGAGCCUACUUUAUCCAGCAGGAAUUAGAUUAACAUGAAAGAAAUUACCCAGUUUGCAUCAUGUAUGGUGCAACAACCACACAAUGUAUCCACUAGCAUGAGGCAUUGACAUACUAUUGAAUCUAUUCCAUUAGAAAGCUCACAACUAUCAUUAUAACCAUAAUAACCAUCACCAUAAUUAUUAUAUUACAGCUUUAUUAUUGGCACAGCAUCAUCAUAAUCAUAACCAGUAAAUGUCACUGAAGAGGUUCAUCAUAUAAAUGCAUGCCUUGUAAGCCUUAUCUGAACAUUGGCAUUCGUGAACUUAGGAAUUAAAUGAAAAAUGGAUCAUUAUGUAGUCGGGUUCAAAGGCAUCAUAUCGUUUUGGGUCAUUGUGAAACCAUUUCAAAGAAGAAGCACCAAACGAUCACAUCAAUGAAGCACAAAAAUUUAAAAAUAAAAUAAAAUGCAAAACCAUAUCAAAUCAGGGUACCUUGUUUUCCCACUCAAACUCAGCCCACAUUGUCCUAAAUGACACAUCAGCACAUGAUGCAGGAGAGAUGUAAUCCAUUAUAUCAAUAUGGAUGUCAUUGAGAACAAUAACCGAUCUGUCAAGCACAUUUGAAGAAGCCUCGUAUACAAUGUUACCAAAUAUAACUCCUGUUUCAGUUGAAGAGACCUUAAUGUUUGCCUUUAUCUGUUUGCUUGAUUCCGGAGCUAGCGUAUAGUUUUGUGGACGCUCAACAAGUUUCAGAUCACCCAUUGUCGCCAACUCCAAGCACAAAUUCUGAAGGGUUUCCUUGGUUCGAUUGAUGACGGUAACAUCAAGAACAAUGUCAUAAUGAUUAACUGUUACAUAGGCUUCAGCAUAAACAGGAUCACUGAAUCCUGUGAGUUGAAGAAUGCGGUUGAGUUUGUUUGCAUCAUCUUUAUCCUUUGUGAAUUCUCCAGUAGCACGUUUGAGAUCAUCUUGAACCGCAUCUUCCAACUCGAGUUGGCUCAUACCCUGAAAAAAAAAAAUGUGUACAUAUAAAAAAGCAUCCAAAGUUCCAAACUAUGUGAUGAAAACAAUGGUUUUAGCAGUCUAUCCGAAUUGAGACAAGAAAAGCCUAAUGCUGCCUUACCUUUCUGCUCUUAAGAUGGUAGAAAUCAAUAAGGUCAUCUGGUUGUGCACUCAAUAUCUGGGCCUUAGCUUUAGUUUCCUCUGUUUCAAGGAGCUGCUUAUCUGCAAGCAUUUUCACAAAGCUCUGUCUACAUGACUCUAGCCAUAUCUUCCUUACUUCUUCACCUUUAUGGCAUAGUAACCGAAUGCAAAGAACUAUUCUAUCUCGAGAAUCAUUAUCAAUCGGAUGUGGAAGGACCGAGGAUUGACCCAAUUGAAGCAUAGAGACCAUGAUCAACAAUGCCUGUGUAGUUGCCUUAUUCACUUCAGCCUUUGAAGGCUGAAUCUCUUCCAAUCUCAAAACCAGCUUCGUUAAUGUGCAAGCUACAACUGUCUCAAGGAAAAAAUCACCCGAGAGAAUCAAUGAUCUCAAGUUCCCCACGGAGGUCAAAGAUCCUUGAACCAGGACAGGUGCAGACAUAGCAGUUUCCAGUGCAGCAGACUGGGUGGCAUAGGUCCCAUCUGCAAGGAUCACAGGCCUCCUAGAAGACACAGUGGUCGAGCUUACCACCUGAGAAUUCUUUGUAGCAUCUUGUGCCUCUUUUUCCUCAGAAGCCGUGUAAAAUGGGAGCUCCCCAAGACACUGCUUAAUGGUUGCAAUCCCACUCUCAACUU
rnacentral:lncRNA from 1 species